rnacentral:rRNA from 1 species
GAUGAACGCUGGCGGCGUGCUUAACACAUGCAAGUCGAACGAAGCACCUUAUUCUGAUUUCUUCGGAAUGAAAAAUUUGGUGACUGAGUGGCGGACGGGUGAGUAACGCGUGGGUAACCUGCCUCAUACAGGGGGAUAACAGUUAGAAAUGACUGCUAAUACCGCAUAAGACCACAGCACCGCAUGGUGCAGGGGUAAAAACUCCGGUGGUAUGAGAUGGACCCGCGUCUGAUUAGGUAGUUGGUGGGGUAACGGCCUACCAAGCCGACGAUCAGUAGCCGACCUGAGAGGGUGACCGGCCACAUUGGGACUGAGACACGGCCCAAACUCCUACGGGAGGCAGCAGUGGGGAAUAUUGCACAAUGGGGGAAACCCUGAUGCAGCGACGCCGCGUGAGCGAUGAAGUAUUUCGGUAUGUAAAGCUCUAUCAGCAGGGAAGAAAAUGACGGUACCUGACUAAGAAGCACCGGCUAAAUACGUGCCAGCCGCCGCCGUAA